rnacentral:lncRNA from 1 species
AUUUGGUCCUGGGAAUUUUUUUGUUUUUGAAUUUUAUUUGGCUUACCACUGAGAGUAGAAACUCAAUUUGAAUGUGUGUGCCACUCUUCUUUAUAAUUCAGAAAAUAUUUCACUAUUUUGUUUAUUUGCUAUAAGGGCAAGGACUCUAUGAUUUUUUUCAUUAUGGUACAAGGAUAUUUUUAGGACUGAAUAGUUAUCAGAUGCAGAGGAAGGUAAUCUUGAAGCUCAAUUCCCAAAUUAAAGUGUUUUGUAUACAAUUUCUUACAUUUUUGCAGUGUUGACCUUAGGGAAUUUUCUAAGCUCACCUAUUUGAUUUCACUGAACCAUAAUAUAAUGUGCAGUUUCUUUUCUUGUAGGCCAAGAAGUGGCCACGUGAACAGUUGGGAUUUGUUUCCAUAAAAUUCCUCUCUAGUCAAACAAACAGGUCAUAGAAUAAACUAAAAAUAAAUUUGUGGAAGUCAGCAUUCAUUUAUGACUAACAAAGAAGAGAAAAAUUCCAUGAGAAAUAGCAAGUGCAGAGCUGCUUCCUUAAUAAAAAUCUACCAAUCUAUUUCAAAUUUAAACCCAGCCAUUAAUUAAAAGGGACACAUAAAAUACAUUGGCAUUAAAAUAACCUCAGAAAAAGGAAACCUGUUAUCACCCCUCUCUUUGAACAUCAUUCUUGAAGUGCUAGCCCAUGCAGACAGGGGAGAACUGAAUAACUGUGUAUAUAAGAAAGAAAAUGAAAAACUUGUCAUUUUUGGAUGAUAUAAUUGUCCACUAUGGAAGCCCAGAAGAGUCAACAGCAACUUAGUACUAGUAAGAGGUUGGUUACAAUUGGAAAUUCAUUUAUAAAAGUCAGGUAGAUAGGCAUGUCUUCUACCUGCGGGUCUGGGAAUAUAUCAGUGAGGGAGGUGGAACACAGGUUCUAGCUGGGUCUUGGGAAAGUGAGGAGGAAGCACGUGGACAAGGCAGGGCUCCAGAGGCACCAGAGGGCUCAUGGCUUCUCUUUGUUCUCGCCACCACUUUCACUGGGGCCCAGGAGCUGAGUUCCAAGACUUGGGGAAUAGUGGACUUCUGGGGCAAAGUGGCUGAUGCACCAAAACAUCUUUUAAAGAACAGAUAAAGAACAGAAGCGUACCUGGGAGAGCUGGCUGAAACCAGGACACGGUGGGACCAUUGGAAAGGACUCUAAACCACAGCAGCAGAAGGAGAGCUAGACUUGCAGGGACCCAGGCUCCACACUAGGGACCUCGACCUUGUCCUGCAGGGAGUGGAGACCCAUGAAUGGAUGUUAGGUGGGUUUGGUUUGCACAUAGCCUUGGUGUAUGUUGAUAGUGUUGUAACUGAUGACUAACCAGGCCUCACAUUUGCAGCCCACAGUGCCUUGCAUACAGGAGAUCAUCAUUCUUCUGGUCCUAUGCCAUGUGAUUGUUACUGAGGAGGAUGGAGAUGACAUCAUCUACCACGCCUCCUCCCCAGAUGAAGCUGCUUUGGUGGAAGGUGCUAAAAAGCUGGGCUUUGUACAGUGAGAACACCAUAUUCGGUCAUCAUAGAAGCAGUAAGU